AAUAGAUACCCAGGUAGUCCACGCCGUAAACGGUGGGUACUAGGUGUGGGUUUCCUUCCUUGGGAUCCGUGCCGUAGCUAACGCAUUAAGUACCCCGCCUGGGGAGUACGGUCGCAAGACUAAAACUCAAAGGAAUUGACGGGGGCCCGCACAAGCGGCGGAGCAUGUGGAUUAAUUCGAUGCAACGCGAAGAACCUUACCUGGGUUUGACAUGCACAGGACGUACCUAGAGAUAGGUAUUCCCUUGUGGCCUGUGUGCAGGUGGUGCAUGACUGUCGUCAGCUCGUGUCGUGAGAUGUUGGGUUAAGUCCCGCAACGAGCGCAACCCUUGUCCUAUGUUGCCAGCGGGUAAUGCCGGGGACUCGUAGGAGACUGCCGGGGUCAACUCGGAGGAAGGUGGGGAUGACGUCAAGUCAUCAUGCCCCUUAUGUCCAGGGCUUCACACAUGCUACAAUGGCCAGUACAGAGGGCUGCGAAGCCGCAAGGUGGAGCGAAUCCCUUAAAGCUGGUCUCAGUUCGGAUUGGGGUCUGC
rnacentral:rRNA from 1 species